AUACAUAUGUGAGAAAUAAUAAAAUUUAUGCUUCAUAAAUAUUCUGUUUUCAUUAAAACAUAUUCAUAAAAUCAAUGUUCAUAAUAAAACAUACUUUUUCAUAUCUCAUAUGCUGAUCUUUAUUUUAUAAAAAAUAUGAUUUCAUCAUCAAUAAUUCUUUGCAUGAAAACAUGAUCAUUUAAAAGUAAAUAAGGAACGUA
rnacentral:lncRNA from 1 species